GUAUGUGUGAGUGCAUUACAUAGAACCAUAGUAAUAUGCACAGUGUAUGAGUGUAUUACAGAGAACCACAGCAAUAUGCACUGUGUAUGAGUAUUACAUAGAACCAUAGUAAUAUGCACUGUGUAUAAGUGUAUUAUAUAGAACCACAGUAAUAUGCACUGUGUAUGAGUGUAUUACAGAGAACCACAGCAAUAUGCACUGUGUAUGAGUGUAUUAC